UUUAUAUAGCGAUAAAAUGUCCGUCUAGAUUCUUAUGAGUUUUUUGAUGUUUC
rnacentral:sRNA from 1 species